rnacentral:misc_RNA from 1 species
CCCGCGUACCGGCUAGGUAUAUUAAUCUGUGUUGGUGCUUGUUGCAUGCGCAUCUUCGGGUGCGCUUAUUUGAACUAUUGUUUAGCAAACCUUGAUUAUUA